GGCUGGUCCGACGGCAGUGGGUUAUCAGAACUUACUAACAUUAGUGUCACCAAAGUUGGUAUACCACCCCCCACUGCUAAAAAAAACAUUUA
rnacentral:sRNA from 1 species